GCAUUAGUGGGGUAGUGAUAACCUGGGUCGUUGCCAUUAAAACUCGACCCGCCUGGAGUUCGAUUCUCCGUUAAUGCA